rnacentral:rRNA from 1 species
GAUCCUGGCUCAGGACGAACGCUGGCGGCGUGCCUAACACAUGCAAGUCGAGCGGGGAAAUUCCAAAAUGAGGCUUCGGCGGAUUUUCGGAAUGGAUAGCGGCGGACGGGUGAGUAACGUGUGAGUAACCUGCCUUUGAGAGGGGGGAUAACACACCGAAAGGUGUGCUAAUACCGCAUAACAUAUGUUUUCGUCAUGGAGAGCAUAUCAAAGAAUUAUUCGCUCAAAGAAUGGACGUCGC